AUGAAACAGAUUAUAGACCAGUCUCUUGACAAG
rnacentral:sRNA from 1 species